UACGGAGGAUGCGAGCGUUAUCCGGAUUUAUUGGGUUUAAAGGGUGCGUAGGCGGGCUUUUAAGUCAGCGGUAAAAAUUCGGGGCUCAACCCCGUCCGGCCGUUGAAACUGGGGGCCUUGAGUGGGCGAGAAGAAGGCGGAAUGCGUGGUGUAGCGGUGAAAUGCAUAGAUAUCACGCAGAACCCUGAUUGCGAAGGCAGCCUUCCGGCGCCCUACUGACGCUGAGGCACGAAAGUGCGGGGAUCGAACAGG
rnacentral:rRNA from 1 species